rnacentral:lncRNA from 1 species
CCAAUCAAGACCAGAACUGUCCAGCUAAGGCCAGUCUAAAGCCAACUCAGACUUGUGAGCAAAAUAAAUGCUUAUUAGUCAUUGAGUUUUGGGAUGGUUUGUUACAGAACAUUACAGUGGCAAUAGUUAACUGAAGAUAAAACUCCCUUCAGUGAUGGACACCACCACUUCCCCACUGAGAUGGUUCAAGUCUAACUCCUAUUACCAUCUGAGGGAACAAGCACAUUGCAGAAUUAAGUAGCAGAGGAUUUCUAGACUUAACACGUAAUUUAAUUCAAUCCAAAUAUAUUGAGCACCCAUUAGAGACACUACAGCGAAUUAAAAAGGAAUAUGGCCACUGCCUACCUAGAAGUUUAUACAGUCUAGCAGAGGAGCCAAGACCACAGGUAAAUGUGAGCACUGCUGAAGCAGAAGUGGAGAAUGGAAGCAGGAGGUCAGGAUUUCUAGCCAAAUGUCAGCUGGGAGUCAGAGAACUUCUAUCUAGAUUCUGAUUUUUAGAAACUUACUGCUGGUUCAUUUGUUCGGAGAGGUUUCUUCACACCUCUCUUCCACUCCUACCUCCCCUUGCUAAAAUCCACUGACUGAAGAAUACUUAGUAUGGAUCCACAUGGAACCAAAAUCCCCAACUGAAUGGAGUCACAUGCAUCAGCACAGUGGCUACCGGUUUCAUCUGCUCACCCAGCCUCAUGUAUUUAGGGACUGAAUUCAAGCUAGAAGCACCCAACACUUUUGUCUUUUGGAAUCUAAUCCAAGUGCCAAUGUACAUCUAAAA